UUUUUUUCAUGUUACCAUUGGAAGCGAUGUACUGGGGAGAGAGAGAGUUUUUUUAAUUUUAUUUAUUUUCAGAUUUUUUCAAAUAAUAGUAUUAAUUAAAUUCUAAUUUUUGAUUGGAUAAACUAGGAUAAGUGCGGAUUGCUUAACAUAGACCAUUGAUUAAUUCGAAUUGAUGGUCUGGAUCGAAUCAAAGAAACACUCCAAGAAGCACACACUAUUUAAAUAAAUUAAAAUGCCUAUAAUGUUGUUUUUAGAUGACUUAAUCAAUUU
rnacentral:lncRNA from 1 species